UACAGAGGUCUCAAGCGUUGUUCGGAUUCAUUGGGCGUAAAGGGUGCGUAGGCGGCGCGGUAAGUCGGGUGUGAAAUCUCGGGGCUUAACUCCGAAACUGCAUUCGAUACUGCCGUGCUUGAGGACUGGAGAGGAGACUGGAAUUUACGGUGUAGCGGUGAAAUGCGUAGAUAUCGUAAGGAAGACCAGUGGCGAAGGCGGCUUCUUGGGCCGUUCCUGACGCUGAGGCGCGAAAGCUGGGGGAGCGAACGGG
rnacentral:rRNA from 1 species